rnacentral:rRNA from 1 species
GAUUAUGGCUCAGAUUGAACGCUGGCGGCAGGCCUAACACAUGCAAGUCGAGCGCGAAAACACUUCGGUGUGAGUAGAGCGGCGGACGGGUGAGUAAUGCUUGGGAAUCUGCCCAGUAGUGGGGGAUAACCUGUGGAAACGCAGGCUAAUACCGCAUACGUCCUACGGGAGAAAGCAGGGGAUCUUCGGACCUUGCGCUAUUGGAUGAGCCCAAGUCGGAUUAGCUUGUUGGUGGGGUAAUGGCUCACCAAGGCAACGAUCCGUAGCUGGUCUGAGAGGAUGAUCAGCCACACUGGGACUGAGACACGGCCCAGACUCCUACGGGAGGCAGCAGUGGGGAAUAUUGCACAAUGGGGGAAACCCUGAUGCAGCCAUGCCGCGUGUGUGAAGAAGGCUCUAGGGUUGUAAAGCACUUUCAGUAGGGAGGAAAUGUUAACGGUUAAUAACCGUUAGUUUGACGUACCUACAGAAG